GUCCCCGGCCCCCUUCCUUCCUGUCAGGGUCCUGGGUCUGAGCGACCCAGGGACCCUGAGCAGUUUUGGACUAAUAUUAUAAUAUAUGUAUUUUGUAUUGCUGUCCCUCGUUCUCCCUGCAUAUGUGUGUGUGGGUGUGGCCCUGGCAGGUGAUUGGCCACACCUGAAGACCAUGUCACACCUGCAGCUGAUCAGGCCUCGUCGGAGGAGCUACUUGAGAGUGUGGUGGAGCUCUCUCCGACGCUGGAUCAUUGCGUGGCUUCACGAGUAGCGAGAGACGAGAGGGCAGCGAGCACGGGGUGCUCAUCACGGAGAAGCGGAGACAGGAGCACUAACACUGGGAAGAGGACACGUCACGGGAGUCGGGAGAGCACGGGAUUUAUUGUCAUGUUUUUCCAUCACUGUAAAUAAACGCACUGCUUGUACUAAGA